UACGGGGGGGGCAAGCGUUGUUCGGAUUUACUGGGCGUAAAGGGCGCGUAGGCGGCGCGGUAAGUCACUUGUGAAAUCUCUGAGCUUAACUCAGAACGGCCAAGUGAUACUGCAGUGCUAGAGUGUGGAAGGGGCAAUCGGAAUUCCUGGUGUAGCGGUGAAAUGCGCAGAUAUCAGGAGGAACACCGGUGGCGAAGGCGGGUCUCUGGGCCAAUACUGACGCUGAGGAGCGAAAGCGUGGGGAGCGAACAGG
rnacentral:rRNA from 1 species